rnacentral:rRNA from 1 species
CCUACGGGUGGCAGCAGUGAGGAAUAUUGGUCAAUGGCCGGAAGGCUGAACCAGCCAAGCCGCGUGAAGGACGAAGGUGCCAAGCAUUGUAAACUUCUUUUAUAAAGGAAUAAAGUGAGGCACGUGUGCCUUUUUGUAUGUACUUUAUGAAUAAGGAUCGGCUAACUCCGUGCCAGCAGCCGCGGUAAUACGGAGGAUCCGAGCGUUAUCCGGAUUUAUUGGGUUUAAAGGGAGCGUAGAUGGGUUGUUAAGUCAGUUGUGAAAGUUUGCGGCUCAACCGUAAAAUUGCAAUUGAUACUGGCAGUCUUGAGUACAGUUGAGGUAGGCGGAAUUCGUGGUGUAGCGGUGAAAUGCUUAGAUAUCACGAAGAACUCCGAUUGCGAAGGCAGCUUACUAAACUGCCACUGACAUUGAUGCUCGAAAGUGUGGGUAUCGAACAGGAUUAGAUACCCUGGUAGUC